ensembl:ncRNA F38B6.12 ncRNA
ACCCGGUUCAGCCCCACGAAUGCCCAGGAGACGAAACAAAAGAGUCGACAAAUUGGACAAGCAAUCGACGGAGACUUAAUGCAGUUAGCAUACGGCCCUGAAGGAAGAGUGGGGAGCAUCUUCUGGAUUGACAACCAGGAAUAAACAAUCUGUGAGCAUCUUGAACGGAUGUUCACAUCU